CGGGGCGUGGCGAAACUGGCAUACGCGCCUGCCCCAGGAGCACGUGGCCGUGCGGCCGUGCGGGUUCGAGUCCCGCCGCCCCGACCA
rnacentral:tRNA from 2 species